GAUGAACGCUGGCGGCGUGCUUAACACAUGCAAGUCGAACGAAGCACUUUUGAUUGAUUUCCUCGGAAAGAUAUCACUUGUGACUGAGUGGCGGACGGGUGAGUAACGCGUGGGUAACCUGCCUCAUACAGGGGGAUAACAGUUGGAAACGACUGCUAAUACCGCAUAAGCGCACGGUAUCGCAUGAUACAGUGUGAAAAACUCCGGUGGUAUGAGAUGGACCCGCGUCUGAUUAGCUAGUUGGUGGGGUAACGGCCCACCAAGGCGACGAUCAGUAGCCGACCUGAGAGGGUGACCGGCCACAUUGGGACUGAGACACGGCCCAAACUACUACGGGAGGCAGCAGUGGGGAAUAUUGCGCAAUGGGCGAAAGCCUGAUGCAGCGACGCCGCGUGAACGAAGAAGUAUUUCGGUAUGUAAAGUUCUAUCAGCAGGGAAGAUAAUGACGGUACCUGACUAAGAAGCACCGGCUAAAUUCGUGCCAGCAGCCGCAGUAAAAC
rnacentral:rRNA from 1 species